UAGACUGAGGCCCGCUGGAUAGGGUGUUUAGUUGUUAACUAGUUUGUUACGGGAUCGAGGCCCGUCGGUCU
rnacentral:tRNA from 1 species